UCCUCUGCACUCAGGACCCCUGAGGGGAAGAGAAAGAAAAAGGAGAUGCUCCCAGAAGAUGCUGGAAGGGGGAGCAUUCUGGGAGUCCAUGUCUGAAGACAACAGAUGUUUCUCAGGCAGAAACAACGGGUCAGAUCCUCAACUCAUGACAUUAGGAAAGACCUGAGUCAGUGCCAUUUCCUAUCCAAUGAAGAAUUACCCUACUCCAGGAGUCCAAACCCAUCUUGACUGCAUAGAAAUUGGCACAAGAUUUCCCUUCCCCCCCAAUUUAUA